CUCGAGCCCUGGUUUGCAGACCCCGCUGCUGCGGCUGUUAUCUGUCUCAGUCGUACAUUCCAGUUUCAGUUGGUACACUUGUGAACUUUAUGUCUCAUCAUGAAUUGUAUUUAAUAAUUAUUUAUAUAGAUACGUCAAAUAAAGGUGAUCAACUAAGGGUGAGCUUCCGCUUUCUUCUCGCCACCGUCUUAGUGGCAAUGUUAAAGUGAACUGCCAGGAGUAUAGGCUAUCCACAGCGACUGCUGCCAUUCAGAGCCCCCAGGGAUGCUGGGAGGAGGGGGAACGCAUGCAUUUGGUUGACAUAAUCACUGACUCAUUAGCAGAGGGCACUGGGCAUUCAAGGAGCCAUGGCCACUAUGCUGUUUGCUGCCUCCAGUGGGCAUAGUCUAACGUUGGAGUGCUGGAGAUGGUGAGGGGUUCAGAGAGCAUUGCCCUCUGUGUUCAGAGGCCCACAGACACCACUCUGUUUUGAUCAUGUAUGUGAAGCUACCAGGGACAUUUUCUUCUUUAUAUUAACUGUCCAGCUAUAACACUAGUCUCUGAGGGAAGGUGGUGGGAUAUCUGCCUUUAAUUUUGCUGUGAGUUAAAAAGACAAAAUUUUCACCUUCUAUAUUUUGAAAUUUUGAGAAGGGAGAAUCGCUUUCUGCAGUAGUUUAUUCUCAUGUCAGCUACGUGCAUUUAGGGGGUUGACUCGGUGCCUUGGUGAGAAUAUCACACCAUUUGGAGAGCAGGUACUUCCGCCAUCCUUUCGGACAGCCGUUACUUCUCAAGUUUAUAAGUACUGACUCGGCACAUGGCUGAUCUCCUGUAAGAAGUUCUUGGGAGUUUACUUUGUCUAUUCCAUGGAGAUGCUUCAAAGGAUUUUCAAAAACUCGUAUGAGGUAUUUUUUGCAAUUAUUUCCAGGAUCUUUUGGAACUGCCGCUCAGUCAGCUCUGUGGGUUCCCAGCUCCUCACAACUGCCGAGAGCAUAGGAUGAUGAGGGAGGCCAGGGAGCUGUGCCCACUGCUCUGGACAGGCCAUGCUGUGGCCGUUGGUGCACAGAGGACUUCGGUCUAGUUCUUUUCUUGUUGGUGUGUGCCUUGUCUUCAGUACAAGUGUGUCCAGAGGUGUAGCUGUCCGAGAAGUGUGGCUACGUACCAGUUACCAUGUCCUCCACUGGGGCAGUGAGGGCCAAAUCAAAUCGCAGCAUUCUUGCUCCCCUGCAAAAACACAAUCAUCAUAGCUGUUACAAUGAAGAGUUCUCCCUCUGGCUGACAUAGUGCUCUUUAAAUGAAUUCCUGUGGUCUUAUCUACCACUUAGACACUCAACAGCUUAUGAUAAGACAAGAGCUGGUUUUUAAUUUUAUUUUUUUUUUCACUUCUACUUUUUCCUAGCAGUUUCUAUAUUUAGAGUCAGGUUGAUUUUGAGUUUCCUUUGAAAUCUAACCUGAUAGCAGUGUUAACCUGCUUUGCUAUUUAGACAUUUCUAGGUAGAAUGCUAAGUACGUAGCCUGUGCUUGGUAUUUUAAAGUUAACAAAACCAGUGUGACUUGACUUAGAGGACCAAAGAGAUUGUUAGCUAUACCUUUAUCUUUCUGGGGGGUUGGUCACUUGUAUCCCUUCUGAACGACCCUGUUGGGUCAUUCUCUAGAAGUGUUCUUAACAAAUGCCUGACAUCUCCAGGCUGUGUUCUCAUCAGCGUCUGUGUAGGGGUAGCCUCGUCUGUCUCAGGCUCGUCUGAAGUGUUUCAAAGUGACCUUCUCACAUCCAUGACACCGAGUACAUUUGGGGAAUUCUUAGGAAUUUGAUGUAAUUAAAUAUACUGUUCAAUUACACUGUGUGGAUUUACUGUAUGUAUAUGUAUGUUACUGAAGGUUCUAUUUAAAUGAUUAAAGUGUUUUUAAUUUUG
rnacentral:lncRNA from 1 species